rnacentral:sRNA from 1 species
CCCUAGCCCCGAUUGUAGCAUUUGUCUGAGCUCAUUUUCUGGGAUUUCGGGGCGGCGGCUUUGCCGCCGCCCCGAAAUCCCAGAAAAUAGCGAGUGCGAAAAGCGGGAAAUAGC